AUUGAACGCUGGCGGCAGGCUUAACACAUGCAAGUCGAGCGGGGAAGAGUAGCUUGCUACUUACCCUAGCGGCGGACGGGUGAGUAAUGCUUAGGAAUCUGCCUAUUAGUGGGGGACAACAUCUCGAAAGGGAUGCUAAUACCGCAUACGUCCUACGGGAGAAAGCAGGGGACCUUCGGGCCUAGCGCUCAUAGAUGAGCCUAAGUCGGAUUAGCUAGUUGGUGGGGUAAAGGCCUACCAAGGCCACGAUCUGUAGCGGGUCUGGGAGGAUGAUCCGCCACACUGGGACUGAGAAACGGCCCAGACUCCUACGGGAGGCAGCAGUGGGGAAAAUUGGACAAGGGGGGGAACCCUGAUCCAGCCAUGCCGCGUGUGUGAAGAAGGCCUUUUGGUUGUAAAGCACUUUAAGCGAGGAGGAGGCUACCGAGAUUAAUACUCUUGGAUAGUGGACGUUACUCGCAGAAUAAGCACCGGCUAACUCUGUGCCAGCAGCCGCCGUAACAC
rnacentral:rRNA from 1 species